GAUGAACGCUGGCGGCGUGCCUAAUACAUGCAAGUCGAGCGAACGGACGAGAAGCUUGCUUCUCUGAUGUUAGCGGCGGACGGGUGAGUAACACGUGGAUAACCUACCUAUAAGACUGGGAUAACUUCGGGAAACCGUAGCUAAUACCGGAUAAUAUUUUGAACCGCAUGGUUCAAAAGUGAAAGACGGUCUUGCUGUCACUUAUAGAUGGAUCCGCGCUGCAUUAGCUAGUUGGUAAGGUAACGGCUUACCAAGGCAACGAUGCAUAGCCGACCUGAGAGGGUGAUCGGCCACACUGGGACUGAGACACGGUCCAGACUCCUACGGGAGGCAGCAGUAGGGAAUCUUCCGCAAUGGGCGAAAGCCUGACGGAGCAACGCCGCGUGAGUGAUGAAGGUCUUCGGAUCGUAAAACUCUGUUAUUAGGGAAGAACAAAUGUGUAAGUAACUGUGCACAUCUUGACGGUACCUAAUCAGAAAGCCACGGCUAACUACGUG
rnacentral:rRNA from 1 species